CAAAGUUUGGUUGCUGGGAUACAAACUUUCAAGAGGGGAUGUAUUUGGCGAGUGGGCACUGGCUCACAGAUUAACAUUUGGGAUGAUCCAUGGCUCCCAUCAAGUCCAACAAGGAAGAUUAUCACCCCUAGAGGUGGAAUCAUGUUGUCAAAACUGCAAGAGAUAAUUGACCCUCAUACGGGUCAGUGGGACGAGGCACUAAUUCAGAGCGUGUUCUCACCAGUAGAUGUACGCAGAAUACUACAAAUUCCACUACAUGUUCAAGCACUAGAAGAUUUUGUGGCAUGGCACUAUACAAAGUGUGGAACCUUCUCAGUACGCUCGGCAUAUCACUUAAAAUUUGAUCACCAGUUUGGUCGCCAGUAUGCAAAUUCGAACAGUCCGGGAAGUGCUCAACUUAGCGGGGUUUGGAAGGAACCAUGGCAUCUUCGUUUACCGGGAAAGAUCAAGCACUUUGGUUGGAAAGUACUUAAGGGAGUACUUCCAUGCUACAGUGUACUCGCGGGCAGACACAUACCCUUGAUCCCGCAAUGCCCGAUAUGCAAAGUUGGCUUGGAAGACAUUCAACAUUGUCUGUUCACAUGUGAUAGAGCAACGCAAGUGUGGUCAUCACUAGGGUUAACUGAGGAGAUCGACAGAGCAGUUGUGCAGGACCGAUCCGGGUCUAUCACUUUGGACAUUCUGAUCCGCCUGCAUAUGACUACACAUGAUAUUCCCACUGCCGAGCUCAUCCUGGUGGCCAUGUGGUUUAUAUGGUGGCAAAGGAGGCAAAUUGCGAAGGGGGAGACUGUCCCAACUCCAGAGCAAUCAGCAAUCUCAAUUCAGGUACUUGCUACCAAUUUUGUCCGUGUAAAUACUCCAAACCAGCCCAUCCGCAAGAAUGAUCAAGUGUGGAAGAAACCAAGUAGGGGAGUUCCUGUGGUGGCAGAGUGCUCCCUCUUGGCAAUGGAGUUUGCACGUAUUAGCUAUGAGUUCUGUAGCAGAGAGGCAAAUAUGCUAGCGGAUGGAUUAGCAAAGCAUUGUUUUAGCAAUAGUACUUCUGAGUUUUGGGAGACUUUCGUCCCUGAUUUUAUUCUUCACAACUAUGUAAAUGACCUUGCUAUUAUCUGA
rnacentral:rRNA from 1 species